rnacentral:rRNA from 1 species
UUUUUCAAAAACAUCGCCUCCUGCAACUUUCUAUGUAUAGGAGGUCCAGCCUGCCCAGUGACUACGGGUUCAACGGCCGCGGUAUUUUGACCGUGCAAAGGUAGCGCAAUCACUUGUCUUUUAAAUGAAGACCUGUAUGAAUGGCCAAACGAGGGCUUAGCUGUCUCCCCCUUCUAGUCAGUGAAAUUGAUCUACCCGUGCAGAAGCGGGUGUAAUUAUACAAGACGAGAAGACCCUUUGGAGCUUAAGGUAUAAAACUUAACCACGUUAAACAAAUUUAUAAAAAAUAUAAACUUAGUGAGAUGCAAAGUUUUACCUUCGGUUGGGGCGACCACGGAGGAAAGACAAGCCUCCAAGCGGACAGGGCCAACACCCUAAAACUAAGAGGGACACCUCUAAGCCACAGAAUAUCUGACCAAUAAUGAUCCAGCAUAAAGCUGAUUAACGGACCAAGUUACCCUAGGGAUAACAGCGCAAUCCUCUCCCAGAGUUCAUAUCGACGAGAGGGUUUACGACCUCGAUGUUGGAUCAGGACAUCCUAAUGGUGCAGCCGCUAUUAAGGGUUCGUUUGUUCAACGAUUAAAGUCCUACGUGAUCUGA